CGGUAGCUAAUACCGCAUAACGUCGCAAGACCAAAGAGGGGGACCUUAGGGCCUCUUGCCAUCGGAUGUGCCCAGAUGGGAUUAGCUAGUAGGUGGGGUAACGGCUCACCUAGGCGACGAUCCCUAGCUGGUCUGAGAGGAUGACCAGCCACACUGGAACUGAGACACGGUCCAGACUCCUACGGGAGGCAGCAGUGGGGAAUAUUGCACAAUGGGCGCAAGCCUGAUGCAGCCAUGCCGCGUGUAUGAAGAAGGCCUUCGGGUUGUAAAGUACUUUCAGCGGGGAGGAAGGGAGUAAAGUUAAUACCUUUGCUCAUUGACGUUACCCGCAGAAGAAGCACCGGCUAACUCCGUGCCAGCAGCCGCGGUAAUACGGAGGGUGCAAGCGUUAAUCGGAAUUACUGGGCGUAAAGCGCACGCAGGCGGUUUGUCAAGUCAGAAUGUGAAAUCCCCGGGGCUCAACCUGGGAACGCA
rnacentral:rRNA from 1 species